rnacentral:rRNA from 1 species
CCUACGGGCGGCAGCAGUGAGGAAUAUUGGUCAAUGGACGAGAGUCUGAACCAGCCAAGUAGCGUGAAGGAUGACUGCCCUAUGGGUUGUAAACUUCUUUUAUAUGGGAAUAAAAUGUUCCACGUGUGCGUUUUUGUAUGUACCUUAUGAAUAAGGAUCGGCUAACUCCGUGCCAGCAGCCGCGGUAAUACGGAGGUUCCGAGCGUUAUCCGGAUUUAUUGGGUUUAAAGGGAGCGUAGGUGGAUUGUUAAGUCAGUUGUGAAAGAUUGCGGCUCAACCGUAAAAUUGCAGUUGAAACUGGGAGUCUAGAGGACAGUAGAGGUGGGCGGAAUUCGAGGUGUAGCGGUGAAAUGCUUAGAUAUCACGAAGAACUCCGAUUGCGAAGGCAGCUCACUGGACUGGAACGGACACUGAGGCACGAAAGUGUGGGUAUCAAACAGGAUUAGAUACCCCUGUAGUC